rnacentral:rRNA from 1 species
GGGGGGGGGGGGGGGGGUGCGUAGGGGGUGCGGGGGGAGCGGGGGGGCGCCAGCUGGGUGGUGUGGAGUAGUGGCGAACGGGUGAGUAACACGUGAGUAACCUGCCCCCUACUCUGGGAUAAGCCUGGGAAACUGGGUCUAAUACUGGAUAUGACCAAUCACUGCAUGGUGUGUUGGUGGAAAGAUUUUGUGGUGGGGGAUGGACUCGCGGCCUAUCAGCUUGUUGGUGGGGUAAUGGCCUACCAAGGCGACGACGGGUAGCCGGCCUGAGAGGGCGACCGGCCACACUGGGACUGAGACACGGCCCAGACUCCUACGGGAGGCAGCAGUGGGGAAUAUUGCACAAUGGGCGAAAGCCUGAUGCAGCGACGCCGCGUGAGGGAUGACGGCCUUCGGGUUGUAAACCUCUUUCACCAGGGACGAAGCUAACGUGACGGUACCUGGAGAAGAAGCAUCGGCUAACUACGUG